AACGAACGCUGGCGGCAUGCCUAACACAUGCCAGUCGAACGAGACCUUCGGGUCUAGUGGCGCACGGGUGCGUAACGCGUGGGAACCUGCCCUUAGGUUCGGAAUAACUCCCCGAAGGGGGUGCUAAUACCGGAUAAUGUCUUCGGACCAAAGAUUUAUCGCCUUUGGAUGGGCCCGCGUUGGAUUAGCUAGUUGGUAGGGUAAAAGCCUACCAAGGCGACGAUCCAUAGCUGGUCUGAGAGGAUGAUCAGCCACACUGGGACUGAGACACGGCCCAGACUCCUACGGGAGGCAGCAGUGGGGAAUAUUGGACAAUGGGCGAAAGCCUGAUCCAGCAAUGCCGCGUGAGCGAUGAAGGCCUUAGGGUUGUAAAGCUCUUUUACCCGGGAUGAUAAUGACAGUACCGGGAGAAUAAGCUCCGGCUAACUCCGUG
rnacentral:rRNA from 1 species